rnacentral:tRNA from 1 species
GGGAGCGUGGCGGAACGGCAUACGCAGGAGACUUAAAAUCUUCCGGCUUCGGUCUUGUGGGUUCGAAUCCCACCGCUCCUACCA